AGUUUUAUAUUCAAUAUUUGUAUAUGAUUUUAAAUUGCAAAUUUAAAGUAGUAAAUUUUUACUAAAACUU
rnacentral:tRNA from 1 species